UCUUCCGAUCUCUUUAAAGAAAAUCAGAUAGUGUUUAAUCUUUGAAAAUGUCCCUGACUAUUCAGUUGGUACCAGAUAAUGAUAAUUACUCUGUGCCCUAG